GUGUCAGCCGCCGCGGUAAUACGUAGGGUCCGAGCGUUGUCCGGAGUGACUGGGCGUAAAGCGCGCGCAGGCGGCCCCUCAGGCACGACGUGAAAGCCCCGGGCUCAACCCGGGAGGGUCGUCGUGAACCGUGGGGCUUGAGGCCGGUAGAGGUGGGUGGAACUCCUGGUGGAGUGGUGAAAUGCGUAGAGAUCAGGAAGAACACCCGUGGCGAAGGCGGCCCACUGGGCCGGUACUGACGCUGAGGCGCGAAGGCGUGGGGAGCGAACGGGAUUAGAAACCCUCGUAGUCC
rnacentral:rRNA from 1 species